rnacentral:rRNA from 1 species
UACGUAGGGUGCUAGCGUUGUCCGGAAUCAUUGGGCGUAAAGAGCUCGUAGGCGGUUUGUCGCGUCGGCUGUGAAAACUGGGGGCUCAACCCCUGGCCUGCAGUCGAUACGGGCAGACUAGAGUUCGGUAGGGGAGACUGGAAUUCCUGGUGUAGCGGUGAAAUGCGCAGAUAUCAGGAGGAACACCGGUGGCGAAGGCGGCCACCUGGGCUUUAACUGACACUGAGGCGCGAAAGCGUGGGUAGCAAACAGG